rnacentral:lncRNA from 1 species
UUUGAAUUAAGAUUUAAUCUUUAAGUUGAAAUAUGAUUUUAGAAUUUAAUUUUAAUUAUAAGGUAUAACUUAAAAUUUAAAUUCAAAUUAAAUUUGAUUAUAUGUCUUAAAUUUUAAUUAUAAAUUUUAAUCACAAUUAGGUUUAAAUUUAAAAUUUAAAAUUUAAUUUUGAAUUCCAAGUGUAAAUUUAAAUUUAAAUUUAAUUUAUAGUCGUUUGUUUAUAUUUUUACUUUUUUAAUAUAAUCAAAUAAUCAAACAAUCGAAAUCAUCAAAACCAAAUUUUUUUAUUUUUUACUUUAUAUCCAACCAAACAAUGAAAUUCAAAAAUUACUUUCCUAAAAGCCACUUUUAUAAAAUUAACUUUUUUCA